rnacentral:rRNA from 1 species
UAGGGAAUCUUCCGCAAUGGGCGAAAGCCUGACGGAGCAACGCCGCGUGAGUGAUGAAGGUCUUCGGAUCGUAAAACUCUGUUAUUAGGGAAGAACAAAUGUGUAAGUAACUAUGCACGUCUUGACGGUACCUAAUCAGAAAGCCACGGCUAACUACGUGCCAGCAGCCGCGGUAAUACGUAGGUGGCAAGCGUUAUCCGGAAUUAUUGGGCGUAAAGCGCGCGUAGGCGGUUUUUUAAGUCUGAUGUGAAAGCCCACGGCUCAACCGUGGAGAGUCAUUGGAAACUGGAAAACUUGAGUGCAGAAGAGGAAAGUGGAAUUCCAUGUGUAGCGGUGAAAUGCGCAGAGAUAUGGAGGAACACCAGUGGCGAAGGCGACUUUCUGGUCUGUAACUGACGCUGAUGUGCGAAAGCGUGGGGAUCAAACAGG